rnacentral:rRNA from 1 species
UACGUAGGGGGCAAGCGUUGUCCGGAUUUAUUGGGCGUAAAGAGCGUGUAGGCGGUCUGGUAGGUCCGUUGUGAAAACUCGAGGCUCAACCUCGAGACGCCGAUGGAAACCAUCAGACUAGAGUCCGGAAGAGGAGAGUGGAAUUCCUGGUGUAGCGGUGAAAUGCGCAGAUAUCAGGAGGAACACCAAUGGCGAAGGCAGCUCGCUGGGACGGUACUGACGCUGAGACGCGAAGGCGUGGGGAGCAAACAGG